rnacentral:rRNA from 1 species
GGUUAAGCGACUAAGCGUACACGGUGGAUGCCCUGGCAGUCAGAGGCGAUGAAGGACGUGCUAAUCUGCGAAAAGCGCCGGCGAGGUGAUAUGAACCUUUGACCCGGCGAUGUCCGAAUGGGGAAACCCAGUGUGAUUCGUCACACUAUCGUUAACUGAAUACAUAGGUUAACGAGGCGAACCGGGGGAACUGAAACAUCUAAGUACCCCGAGGAAAAGAAAUCAACCGAGAUUCCCCCAGUAGCGGCGAGCGAACGGGGAGCAGCCCAGAGUCUGAAUCAGCUUGUGUGUUAGUGGAACGGUCUGGAAAGUCCGACGGUACAGGGUGAUAGUCCCGUACACGAAAACACACAGGUUGUGAACUCGAAGAGUAGGGCGGGACACGUGGUAUCCUGUCUGAAUAUGGGGGGACCAUCCUCCAAGGCUAAAUACUCCUGACUGACCGAUAGUGAACCAGUACCGUGAGGGAAAGGCGAAAAG